AUUUUGAUAACAUAUUGUAACUAGUUUUGAAAUAUCAGUCAUAAUAUCUCUCUUGAAUUUUAGUCAGCAGUGUCCUAGUCUUUCUCGGUGCCCCUAAUUCUCUCUCUCAGAGUCCAGUCCAUCGAUGGCUUCGCAAAUGGCGAUCUCUUCCGCAUGUGUUCCGUUCUCUUCCCCAAUCUCUCUUCCCUCAUCAAACCAUAUCCACUUUCCGUACUCCAAUAGGAGCCUCAGCUUGCGAAUCCCGCUCCUCUCCCUCCCAAUCCCGCCUCCGGCAGCCCUCUCUACCACCAAAACUGGCGCUUCUCUUCCUCUCUUUAUUUCUUUCUCCUUUGAAACCCUCCCUUCCUGAGUGAUCGGUUUUUCACAGCCACAAGUAUAUCCUUUCCAACCUACUCCAGCACCGGUGCCAACACCCCUGGCUGGUUGGAUGUCAAAUCCAACAACUGUUGCACAUCCUACAGUCUCCGGUGGAGCUAUAGGUCUUGGUGCACCGUCAAUCCCAGGCCUUUAAAGUGUGGGAUCUUUGUGCUUGUUCAAUGCCCUUUCAGGUUGCCUUUCUCACCUUAUUUGUUGAUUACCAAAUCCUCAGAACUAUUGAGUUUGCAAUGAUUGAAAACAAAAAUAAUGAUAAUCGAUUCAGGCUGCUCUUGUCAAAGAUCGAGGUGUUUCUGUCAAUCGUGUGAUUUGGAGUCCUGAUGGGGCUUUAUUUGGAGUUGCUUACUUAAGGCACAUUGUUCAGAUAUACUCUUACCAUGGCAGGGAUGAAAUCUGACAGCAUUUGCAGGUUUGGGAUGCUGCUUCUGGAGCAAAACAGUAUACCUUUGAAGGUCAUGAGGCUCUACUUUAUUCUGUCUGUCCACAUUAUAAAGAAAACAUUCAGUUCAUCUUUUCCACGGCAUUAGAUGGAAAGAUAAAAGCAUGGUUGUAUGAUAAUUUGGGAUCUCGUGUUGAUUAUGAUAAUUUGGAAUCUUUUGGGGGAUAUGACGGUCCUAUGCAAUCAUAUGGGAGGAUGUAUGAUAGCUUAGACUUUGACGAUCUUGGUAUCACUUGGAAUUUUUACAUACCUGUACUAUUUUUGUUUACUAUUUUGGUUUUUGGACAUCUGAAAUAUUGUGGAU